GACGAACGCUGGCGGCGUGCCUAAUACAUGCAAGUCGAACGGUUUAGUUCCAAGAGGCUUGCCUUUUGGAACUAGACAGUGGCGGACGGGUGAGUAACACGUAGGCAACCUACCUGUCAAACCGGGAUAACCUCGGGAAACCGAAGCUAAACCCGGAUAAGCUCCUUUUUCGCAUGAAGGGGGAGUGAAAAGGUGCGACCUGAUGACAGAUGGGCCUGCGGCGCAUUAGCUAGUAGGUAGGGUAACGGCCUACCUAGGCGAUGAUGCGUAGCCGACCUGAGAGGGCGUACGGCCACACUGGGACUGAGAUACGGCCCAGACUCCUACGGGAGGCAGCAGUAGGGAAUCUUCGGCAAUGGGCGAAAGCCUGACCGGGCAACGCCGCGUGAGUGAGGAAGGCCUUCGGGUUGUAAAACUCUGUUGUUUGGGAAGAAGGGAAAGGGUAGGACCCUUUGGUGACGGUACCAAACGAGAAAGCCCCGGCUAACUACGUG
rnacentral:rRNA from 1 species